rnacentral:lncRNA from 1 species
UUGCUUCUGUCCACGGCAUGCUGGCAGCGCCGUUGCUCGAGCUCGACUCCCCCAUGCCGGAAGCCGCCUCACCCUCACUGUCGGAUUCCGCCUAGCCCUCGCCGCCGGACACCGCGUCGCCCUCACCGCCGGGUCCCACGUCGCCCUCUCCGCCGGUAUUGUUGUUGGUACUGAACAUGUGGCUACUGAAACUGUGGUUAAUGUUUUUGGAGUACUGUCUAUUCUCGGUGCAAGCCUGAAUUUUUAGCUACAAUCAAGAGUAGAUAGUGGCAAUCUAGUGCUAAACUUCAAUUCUAGUGUAUCCUGUCAGUGUAAAUCUUUGCUGCAUUGUGGAAAUCACACACACACAGUUAACUGGAAUUUGACUCUGAGAGGG